rnacentral:rRNA from 1 species
AGAGUUUGAUCAUGGCUCAGAUUGAACGCUGGCGGCAGGCCUAACACAUGCAAGUCGAGCGAGAAAGCACUUCGGUGUGAGUACAGCGGCGGACGGGUGAGUAACGCGUAGGAAUUUGCCCAGUAGUGGGGGACAACAUGUGGAAACGCAUGCUAAUACCGCAUACGCCCUACGGGGGAAAGCAGGGGAUCUUCGGACCUUGCGCUAUUGGAUGAGCCUGCGUCGGAUUAGCUAGUUGGUGGGGUAAAGGCCCACCAAGGCGACGAUCCGUAGCUGGUCUGAGAGGAUGAUCAGCCACACUGGAACUGAGACACGGUCCAGACUCCUACGGGAGGCAGCAGUGGGGAAUAUUGGACAAUGGGGGCAACCCUGAUCCAGCAAUGCCGCGUGUGUGAAGAAGGCCUGCGGGUUGUAAAGCACUUUCAGUAGAGAAGAAAUGCCUGGGGUUAAUACCUCCGGGUCUUGACGUAACCUACAGAAGAAGCACCGGCUAACUCCGUGCCAGCAGCCGCGGUAAUACGGAGGGUGCGAGCGUUAAUCGGAAUUACUGGGCGUAAAGCGCGCGUAGGCGGCUAGGUCAGUCGGAUGUGAAAGCCCCGGGCUUAACCUGGGAAUUGCAUUCGAAACUGCCUGGCUAGAGUAUGGGAGAGGGAAGCGGAAUUUCCGGUGUAGCGGUGAAAUGCGUAGAUAUCGGAAGGAACACCAGUGGCGAAGGCGACUUCCUGGCCCAAUACUGACGCUCAGGUGCGAAAGCGUGGGUAGCGAACAGGAUUAGAUACCCUGGUAGUCCACGCCGUAAACGAUGAGAACUAGAUGUCGGGAGGAUUUACCUUUCGGUGUCGCAGCUAACGCGUUAAGUUCUCCGCCUGGGGAGUACGGUGGCAACACUAAAACUCAAAGGAAUUGACGGGGACCCGCACAAGCGGUGGAGCAUGUGGUUUAAUUCGAUGCAACGCGAAGAACCUUACCUGGUCUUGACAUCCUCGGAACUUUCCAGAGAUGGAUUGGUGCCUUCGGGAAUCGAGUGACAGGUGCUGCAUGGCUGUCGUCAGCUCGUGUCGUGAGAUGUUGGGUUAAGUCCCGCAACGAGCGCAACCCUCGCCCUUAGUUGCCAGCAUUCAGUUGGGCACUCUAGGGGAACUGCCGGUGAUAAGCCGGAGGAAGGUGGGGAUGACGUCAAGUCCUCAUGGCCCUUACGGGAUGGGCUACACACGUGCUACAAUGGCGGUGACAGUGGGUUAAUCCCCAAAAACCGUCUCAGUUCGGAUUGUCGCCUGCAACUCGGCGGCAUGAAGUUGGAAUCGCUAGUAAUCGCGUAACAGCAUGACGCGGUGAAUACGUUCCCGGGCCUUGUACACACCGCCCGUCACACCAUGGGAGUUGGGUUUACCCGAAGACGGUGCGCCGACCCGCAAGGGGGGCAGCCGGCCACGGUAAGUUCAGCGACUGGGGUGAAGUCGUAACAAGGUAGCC